rnacentral:rRNA from 1 species
CCUACGGGUCGCACCAGUGGGGAAUCUUGCGCAAUGGGGGAAACCCUGACGCAGCGACGCCGCGUGAGUGAAGAAGGCCUUCGGGUUGUAAAGCUCUGUCACAGGGGAAGAAGAAGUGACGGUACCCUGGGAGGAAGCCCCGGCUAACUACGUGCCAGCAGCCGCGGUAACACGUAGGGGGCGAGCGUUGUCCGGAAUCACUGGGCGUAAAGGGCACGCAGGCGGUUAUUCGGGUCAGGUGUGAAAGUCCGGAGCUCAACUCCGGGAUUGCACUUGAAACUGGAUAACUUGAGGGCAGGAGAGGCAAGUGGAAUUCCUGGUGUAGCGGUGAAAUGCGUAGAUAUCAGGAAGAACACCAGUGGCGAAGGCGACUUGCUGGACUGGCCCUGACGCUGAGGUGCGAAAGCGUGGGGAGCGAACAGGAUUAGAUACCCGAGUAGUC